rnacentral:tRNA from 1 species
GGCUCUGUGGCGGAGUGGUCACGCAGCGGAUUGCAAAUCCGUGUACGCCGGUUCGAUUCCGGCCGGAGCCUCCA